GUGAUUAAAUCGAGCGUGUCUUCAUUGACCGCUCACCCUUCUCACCACCCACAUACACCUGUGCACUGUUUAGCCUGAGCCGGUUUUCCGGUCCAGGUUAUCAUUUCAUACAAACUCUAGUCUUAUGAAUGUAAACGUUUUAAUAACAUAAUA
rnacentral:misc_RNA from 1 species